rnacentral:rRNA from 1 species
AUACGUAGGUGGCAAGCGUUAUCCGGAAUUACUGGGCGUAAAGCGCACGCAGGCGGCCAUUUAAGUCUGACGUGAAAGCUCCCGGCUUAACUGGGAGAGGUCGUUGGAAACUGGGUGGCUUGAGGCAAUGAGAGGGGUGUAGAAUUCCUGGUGUAGUGGUGGAAUGCGUAGAUAUCAGGAGGAAUACCAGUGGCGAAAGCGGCACCCUGGCAUUGGCCUGACGCUCAUGUGCGAAAGCGUGGGGAGCGAACGGGAUUAGAUACCCCGGUAGUCCACGCCGUAAACGAUGAACACUAGGUGUGGGUGGUGUAACAGCCAUCUGUGCCGAAGCCAACGCGCUAAGUGUUCCGCCUGGGGAGUACGGCCGCAAGGCUAAA